AGUGAACGCUGGCGGCAUGCCUAAUACAUGCAAGUCGAACGGCAGCACAGUAAGCGCUUGCCCUCACGGUUGGCGACUGGCGGAUGGGUGAGGCAUACAUACUCAUCCUCUUUUUCGUGGGGGAUAUCGUAGGGAAACUUAUGCUAAUACCUCAUACCUUCAACCACUGAAUUUAGGUGUUCUUCAUACCAUUCGCGCACGAAUGAGCCGAUGUCGGAUUAGCUAGUUGGCGGGGUAAAGGCCCACCAAGGCGACGAUCCGUAGCUGGUCUGAGAGGAUGAUCAGCCACACUGGAACUGAGACACGGUCCAGACUCCUACGGGAGGCAGCAGUGGGGAAUAUUGGACAAAGGGCGCAAGCCUGAUCCAGCCAUACCGCGUGGGUGAAGAAGGCCUUCGGGUUGUAAAGCCCUUUUGUUGGGAAAGAAAAGCAGCAGGUUAAUACCCCGCUGUUCUGACGGUACCCAAAGAAUAAGCACCGGCUAACUUCGUG
rnacentral:rRNA from 1 species